rnacentral:misc_RNA from 1 species
AUGAGUUAGGGUCUUCUAGGCCCGAUCUCCAACCCUUUGUAUAACUACCAUGUUGCUUUGGCGGGCCCGUCUUUAACCGGACCGCCGGGGGUCUUUUGACCUCUGGCCAGUGCUCGUCAGUAGCCUACACAAAACUCUUUUAACCAUGUUAAAUCUGAAACUAGUUAAAUAAACUA